GGUGAGGUGGUCGAGUGGUUAGGCAGCGGCCUGCAAAGCCGUGAACGCGGGUUCGAAUCCCGUCCUCACCU
rnacentral:tRNA from 1 species